GACGAACGCUGGCGGCGUGCUUAACACAUGCAAGUCGAACGAAGAGCGAUGGAAGCUUGCUUCUAUCAAUCUUAGUGGCGAACGGGUGAGUAACGCGUAAUCAACCUGCCCUUCAGAGGGGGACAACAGUUGGAAACGACUGCUAAUACCGCAUACGAUCUAAUCUCGGCAUCGAGGAUAGAUGAAAGGUGGCCUCUACAUGUAAGCUAUCACUGAAGGAGGGGAUUGCGUCUGAUUAGCUAGUUGGAGGGGUAACGGCCCACCAAGGCGAUGAUCAGUAGCCGGUCUGAGAGGAUGAACGGCCACAUUGGGACUGAGACACGGCCCAGACUCCUACGGGAGGCAGCAGUGGGGAAUCUUCCGCAAUGGACGAAAGUCUGACGGAGCAACGCCGCGUGAGUGAUGACGGCCUUCGGGUUGUAAAGCUCUGUUAAUCGGGACGAAAGGCCUUCUUGCGAAUAGUGAGAAGGAUUGACGGUACCGGAAUAGAAAGUCACGGCUAACUACGUG
rnacentral:rRNA from 1 species